AUUGAACGCUGGCGGCAUGCCUUACACAUGCAAGUCGAACGGCAGCAUGGAAGAGCUUGCUCUUCUGAUGGCGAGUGGCGAACGGGUGAGUAAAGCAUCGGAACGUACCGUGUAGUGGGGGAUAACGUAGCGAAAGUUACGCUAAUACCGCAUACGCACUGAGGUGGAAAGCAGGGGAUCGCAAGACCUUGCGCUAUACGAGCGGCCGAUGUCAGAUUAGCUAGUUGGUAGGGUAAAGGCUCACCAAGCCAACGAUCUGUAGCUGGUCUGAGAGGACGACCAGCCACACUGGAACUGAGACACGGUCCAGACUCCUACGGGAGGCAGCAGUGGGGAAUUUUGGACAAUGGACGCAAGUCUGAUCCAGCCAUUCCGCGUGCAGGAUGAAGGCCCUCGGGUUGUAAACUGCUUUUGUACGGAACGAAAAGGUUUCCAUUAAUACUGGGACUCGAUGACGGUACCGUAAGAAUAAGCA
rnacentral:rRNA from 1 species